AGAGUUUGAUCCUGGCUCAGAAAUGAACGCUGGCGGCGUGCUUAACACAUGCAAAGUCGAAACGAGAAAAGUUUCCUUCGGGGAAGCGAGUAGAGUGGCGCACGGGUGAGUAACACGUGGGUAAUCUACCCCUCAAUUUGGGAUAACAUUGCGAAAGCGAUGCUAAUACCGAAUAACAUCCAUAAUACUUUGGUAUAGUGACCAAAGGUGGCCAAUCCUUGGAAGCUACUGUUGGGGGAUGAGCCUGCGUACCAUUAGCUAGUUGGCGAGGUAACGGCUCACCAAGGCUACGAUCGGUAGCUGGUCUGAGAGGAUGAUCAGCCACACUGGAACUGGAACACGGUCCAGACUCCUACGGGAGGCAGCAGUGAGGAAUAUUGCGCAAUGGGGGAAACCCUGACGCAGCAACGCCGCGUGAGUGAUGAAGGCUUUCGGGUCGUAAAGCUCUGUCAGAGGGGAAGAAAUGUAUGGGAUGCUAAUACCAUCUUUACUUGACGGUACCCUCAAAGGAAGCACCGGCUAACUCCGUGYCAGCMGCCGCGGUAAUA
rnacentral:rRNA from 1 species